GAUGAACGCUGGCGGCGUGCCUAAUACAUGCAAGUCGAGCGAACAGACGAGGAGCUUGCUCCUCUGACGUUAGCGGCGGACGGGUGAGUAACACGUGGAUAACCUACCUAUAAGACUGGGAUAACUUCGGGAAACCGGAGCUAAUACCGGAUAAUAUAUUGAACCGCAUGGUUCAAUAGUGAAAGACGGUUUUGCUGUCACUUAUAGAUGGAUCCGCGCCGCAUUAGCUAGUUGGUAAGGUAACGGCUUACCAAGGCAACGAUGCGUAGCCGACCUGAGAGGGUGAUCGGCCACACUGGAACUGAGACACGGUCCAGACUCCUACGGGAGGCAGCAGUAGGGAAUCGUCCGCAAUGGGCGAAAGCCUGACGGAGCAACGCCGCGUGAGUGAUGAAGGUCUUCGGAUCGUAAAACUCUGCUAUUAGGGAAGAACAAAUGUGUAAGUAACUAUGCACGUCUUGACGGUACCUAAUCAGAAAGCCACGGCUAACUACGUG
rnacentral:rRNA from 1 species